GAAUCCCGUCUUUGGCACGGACACACCAGGGCUUUUGUGAUGCGCUCUCGAAGAGUCGAGUUGUUUGGGAAUGCAGCUCAAAAUGGGUGGUGAACUCCAUCUAAAGCUAAAUAUUGGCGAGAGACCGAUAGCGAACAAGUACCGUGAGGGAAAGAUGAAAAGCACUUUGGAAAGAGAGUGAAACAGUACGUGAAAUUGUUGAAAGGGAAACGCUUGAAGUCAGUCGCGUCGACCGAGACUCAGCCUUGCCUUGGCUUGGUGUACUUCUCGGCUGACGGGUCAGCAUCAAUUUUGCCCCUUGGAUAAUGGCGAGGGAAAUGUGACACCUUUACGGUGUGUUAUAGUCUCUCGUCGCAUGCAAGGGUUGGGAUUGAGGAACUCAGCACGCACCUUUGGGUGUCGGGGUUUUGCCCACGAUACGUGCUUAGGAUGUUGGCGUAAUGGCUUUAAACGACCCGUCUUGAAACACGGACCAAGGAGUCUAACAUGCCUGCGAGUGUUCGGGUGGAAAACUCGUGCGCGCAAUGAAAGUGAAAGUUGGGACCUCUGUCGUGGAGGGCACCGACGCCCGGACCAGACCUUCUGUGACGGCUCUGCGGUAAAGCAUGUAUGUUAGGACCCGAAAGAUGGUGAACUAUGCCUGAAUAGGGUGAAGCCAGAGGAAACUCUGGUGGAGGCUCGUAGCGAUUCUGACGUGCAAAUCGAUCGUCAAAUUUGGGUAUAGGGGCGAAAGACUAAUCGAACCAUCUAGUAGCUGGUUCCUGC
rnacentral:rRNA from 1 species